UCCUCGAUAGUAUAGUGGUUAGUAUCCCCGCCUGCCACGCGGGACCGGGGUUCAAUUCCCCGUCGGGGAG
rnacentral:tRNA from 1 species